GGGUUCAGUCCCCAGCACAUACACUCACACGCACAAAAUCCAGCCGAGCAGAGUUGAGAGAGCAUCCUGAUAGCAGAACACAAAGGAGAUUUCUGAAGGGCGGCGGUCCUGAAGAAGGACUCUACAAAGUGUGAUCUCAAAGUGACAAGGUAUGGACACAAAUUCUAAAGAAGUCAACCAAGACGAAAUGAAGAUGAAGGAAAUUCUCUCUGAAGGCGAGCCAUGGAGUCUACGAUGCUAAUAUUCAACCCUGCUGUUGAAACACGAGCAGCCAUGGACAAUAUGUAAAUGAAUGGAUACGGUCAUGUUCCAACAAAACCUUA